UCCCGGCGUGCACUGCGCGGCCGCUCGGCUGAGGGGGCGGCCCGGGCGCACCGGGGGAGCCGGGAAUAGCGGGGAUAAAGGGGGUUUUCCGGGAGAACCGGGAGCACCAGGCACAGGCCACGAAGGGUCAGGCACACCGGGGAAACGCCGGGGCAGCAGCAGUGGCGCCGGGCACGCCGGCUGUCCCGUGCACCGGGAAGAAGAGGCACCGCGGGUACAGCGCAUCGCCCCGGCCUCCCGCGGCACCAGGCGCUGUACUGCUUUCCCAUGUCCCUUCCCAGGAAUGCCUUCCCGGGACAGCUGUGUUCUAGUGAGUGACUUUGUCCCGCAGGUUGGGAGAAGCGUUCGGACCUUUCGUGUCCCUCACCUCCGUGUGACGGGAGCUCUGGGGGCUCCGUGUGCUGCUCCCAGUGCCCCUUCACAGGGUCAGUGUAGGAACACUCGCUCUUUACACUGGGAACUGAAUGUUCGCAUUAUCCACAAACCCCACUUAGUGAAAUCUCAAAAUGUCCUUUGUUUAGUGUCUCAAAAUGGUAGUUCCUGGUGGUAAACUGAGGCACAGACCACUGCUGCUUUAGCCCGUACGCUCACAAGAGCUGACACAGCAGAGUCUUGGCACUGCCUGUCCCAGCUCCUGUGUUGUCAGCACAGCCAGGCAGCUCUGUGCAGCAGAGUUCUCCCAUCCCUUUGCAGCUCAGAGUACCUCUGCUCCGCAGCAGCCCGCUGUCAGGUGUUGUAUCGCACUAAGAGUUCACUUGUAGUUGUUUUGCAGUCCCCGUGCUCUGCAGUGGCCGGUGUCAGGGGCAGCAGUGCUUGCCCAGGAGCUCUGCACAGCCCAGUGUGGUGAGCGCUGCAGCUGCGCUGGCCGAGGCCCAGGCAGGGAACCUGCUGCUGGCCCGGAAUGCCAGAGCCCUGCAGGCCAGGGACAGUGACCAGAGCCACCUCCAGCGCUGGCAGCAUGGCAGUAAUGCGGUGCGCUGGGGCAGAGCAGGCGGACCCGGCCCGAGGUGCUGCGCGCCCGCCCGCGGGGUGACGGGCGCUUCGCUGCUGAGGUUACCCACGUGCUGCCCGGAGAUCUGCAACUGAGGUAUGCAGGGAGCCUGGACACCACCUGCGGGGAAGAUGACUUCUAAUCUUACAUGUAUUCUAAAUAACAAUAUAAUCCUGAGCAGAAGCGCUUCCUCGUACAGCAAAAUGAAUGCUCUUUUCCUAAUGUACAAUCUGUUUAGCUGACAAGCCUGCACCAGCUUUAAUAAACUGACAAUAUAUCCGCCCAUGAAAAACAGCAAUAUUUUACAACACAUAGAGCUAUUCAGAAAUGUAAAUGCCAUACCAAUGCUUUAUUUUUUUACAUUUUAGAGUAUUUGUUAUUACCAGAAAAUGAAAAUUGUCUAUUAGAUUAGAAGCUCAUGAACAUUACUGGUCUAACUAGCGGGCUGAGAUGUUGAAAUAGAUGUGUGCUGAGAGCCCCAUCAACUUCUAAACAGCUAGUCCAGGUUUCUUUCCAACAGGACAGAAUAUUGCAGCUUCCCUACAAGGUGGAGGUAGGUGGCCCAAAUGCUGUGUGAUUCACGGCCAUAAGAAUGCACCACCACCAGCCCAAGUGUGGAUACUCACACGCCCUGAUCAAAUUAUAUGUUUGACACAUUCUUAAACUGAACCUUUCUGCAAGCAAUUACACACGUUAGUGAUGCUGUGAUUCAGUGUGGUGCUGGCUGAUGAUGAAACACUGCAGUGCUGCUCCUCAUGGCACAUGGCACCAGGAAGCAGGAACCUUAGCUUGCCUUUUUACCAUUGGCUUCCCUCUGGAGAACAGCUGUAAUUAAUAUUAUCUUAAAUGGUUGUGAAAGGACAACUUAGGGACAUCGCUUGUUGCAUUAGGUGUUUUCUAGUAAAUGUACUGAAAACUGUAAGUGGAUUUAAAACUUUUGUCAACAGCAAAGAACACAGACACAGUGUGGGACAGAGCUCGCUGUGGCUCUGGGGGCUGCAGCUGCUGCCCAGGGUAGUGCAGCUUCAGGAGCUCUAAAGGACAGAGGCAGUGAAAGGGUUUGUUCAGUGGUACAUGAAGAGGAACAGUGCUGCAGUCAAUCCCUUCUGGGUGCAACUGUAAGUACCAGGAGGGAGGGGAAGGGAAGGAAGAAGGAAUAUCUGUCCAUUUUUGGAAAAGUUACAAAUCUUAACACUAAUACACUGUGAUAUCCUGUGCUUUGUCCUCUCAGGAACUCCUUUUCUUUGGGGUAAAUAAUUUCAUGUCUCUUGAAUACUCAUUAAAACAUUUCCAAUGCCAACAUUA